rnacentral:tRNA from 1 species
AAAUAUGAAGCAAAUUUUGCAUUUAACUUCGACUUAAAGAUUAGAGUUUAAUUACUCCUUAUUUU